GUCCACGCCGUAAACGGUGGGUGCUAGUUGUGGGCUCCAUUCCACGGAGUCCGUGACGAAGUUAACACAUUAAGCACCCCGCCUGGGGAGUACGGUCGCAAGACUAAAACUCAAAGGAAUUGACGGGGGCCCGCACAAGCGGCGGAGCAUGCGGAUUAAUUCGAUGCAACGCGAAGAACCUUACCAAGGCUUGACAUAUAGAGGAAACGUGCAGAAAUGUACGCCCCGCAAGGUCUCUAUACAGGUGGUGCAUGGUUGUCGU
rnacentral:rRNA from 1 species